AGCAGCCGCGGUAAUUCCAGCUCCAAUAGCGUAUAUUAAAGUUGUUGCAGUUAAAAAGCUCGUAGUUGAAUUUCGGGAUCAAUAUGCUGGUCGUGCCUUUGGUACGUACUGGUAUUAUUGGUUUCUCCUUUCUGAUGAAUCAUGAUGUCAUUAAUUUGGUGUCAUGGGGAAUCAGGACUGUUACUUUGAAAAAUUAGAGUGUUUAAAGCAGGCUUACGCUUGAAUACAUUAGCAUGGAAUAAUGAAAUAGGACGUUUAAUUCUAUUUUGUUGGUUUCUAGGAUUGACGUAAUGAUUAAUAGGGAUAGUUGGGGGCAUUAGUAUUCAAUUGUCAGAGGUGAAAUUCUUGGAUUUAUUGAAGACUAACUACUGCGAAAGCAUUUGCCAAGGAUAUUUUCAUUAAUCAAGAACGAAAGUUAGGGGAUCGAAGACGAUCAGAUACCGUCGUAGU
rnacentral:rRNA from 1 species